rnacentral:rRNA from 1 species
GACGAACGCUGGCGGCGUGCCUAAUACAUGCAAGUAGAACGCUGAAGGAGGAGCUUGCUUCUCCGGAUGAGUUGCGAACGGGUGAGUAACGCGUAGGUAACCUGCCUGGUAGCGGGGGAUAACUAUUGGAAACGAUAGCUAAUACCGCAUAAGAGUAGAUGUUGCAUGACAUUUGCUUAAAAGGUGCAGUUGCAUCACUACCAGAUGGACCUGCGUUGUAUUAGCUAGUUGGUGGGGUAACGGCUUACCAAGGCGACGAUACAUAGCCGACGUGUGAGGGUGAUCAGCCACACUGGGACUGAGACACGGCACAGACUCCUACGGGAAGCAGCCGUAGGGAAACUUCGGCAAUGGGCGGAAGUCUUACCGAGCAACGCCGCGUGAGUGAGGAAGGUUUUCGGAUCGGAAAGCACUGUUGUAGGAGAAGAAAGAGUGUGAGAGUGGAAAGUUCACACUGUGACGGUAUCUGACCAAGAAGGGACGGCUAACUACGUG